AAAACCCCACUCUUAUAAAUUGAAUCAUUUUAUAUUAUGUAUGUAAUAAAUAAAGAUCUCUUUCAACAACGGAUCUCUUGGUUCUCGCAUCGAUGAAGAACGUAGCGAAGUGCGAUAAGUAAUGUGAAUUGCAGAAUUCCGUGAAUCAUCG
rnacentral:rRNA from 1 species